UACAGAGGGGGGCAAGCGUUGUUCGGAAUUACUGGGCGUAAAGGGCGCGUAGGCGGCCUUCUAAGUCGAACGUGAAAUCCCCGGGCUCAACCCGGGAACUGCGUCCGAUACUGGAAGGCUUGAAUCCGGUAGAGGGAAGUGGAAUUUCCGGUGUAGCGGUGAAAUGCGUAGAUAUCGGAAGGAACAUCAGUGGCGAAAGCGGCUUCCUGGACCAGUACCGACGUCAGGCACGAAAGCGUGGGGAGCAAACAGG
rnacentral:rRNA from 1 species